GAGCAGCAGCAAGGCCUGAGGGUGCCGGUGCGGGGCUGUCCCGGGCCGACCCGGGCGGCUGCGGCCGAGGCUGAGGCCUCCUUCCCCCGCCGCCGCCCCGCUCGCGUCCCGCCUGUGCCACCGCCCCGGGGCGGGGGGAGCCGCCUGCCGCGGCCCAUAAAGCGCGGCCGGGGCCUGCCGGAGCUGCCAGCGGAGCGGGGUCCCCUUUCUGCCUCUCGACCGCCGCUGUCCCUGGGACACGCAGGCUCGCCCCGGAGAAAGCCGGAUUCCCCUGGAGUCGCUGCCAUGGCCUCCGUCCCCUCCGCCGGCUGCCUCCUGGCCAAGAACCAGUACUACAGGACAAGACUGAACUCGGAAUCCAGCGUUUCUUCUGGCUCUUCCUGCUGUUUGGAUGCUGUGAACGUCACAGAGCAGGACAAAGCAAUGAAUGGUUUACCAGAGUUAGUUGAUAAAUAUUGGUGGAUAAAAAGCUUCUUCCAUAGCGAACCUUCUCCACCAACUGUUGGAAGAAAAACACUCUCAGCAAGCAGUACCAACAGUUGAAAAGGACAGCGUGAUGGCUUUUCUGACUGAGAUGCUACAUACAGACUUGUUUUUCCAAGAGGCUUGGGGUCUUCCUAAUGUCUGGGUUCAGCUGCAAGAAGAAAACAAAACCUUUAGGAGAGUGGAAAAGCGUAUUUUCAAAAUAUUUGUCAGUAGCUAAAAUGAUAUUGCUUAAUGGACAUAUCCAUGGCCUACCGUGUUCUUUCCAGAUUUGCAAUAAUUUGUGAUGUUUCUCUAAUGGAAGUUUCAAGGACUAAACAUCCUGAUGACUUACUUGAAUAAUUAGAGAAAAGUGACAGUAAAAAUAAGACGUCAUAGGUUUAGGAGGAAGAUGCGUGAUUCAGUUAAGUUGCCUUCAAGAUACCAGCUCUUUAGGCAGUCACACUGAUGUAAACAGGAUUCAGACCUAUAAUCCAGAGCAGGACUGCUGUGUGGCACUUGUAUCCAGUAUUUAUGUACCAGUUACAGGGGUAAGUUUACAAGAAUGCUUGUCAAUAACUUUUUUUAAAAUUUUUUUAAAAACUCCAAUUAUAUGAACAAGCAAUAAUCAGUUUGGUUUCUUUGAUCAAGCAGAGUGCAUAGAUCCCAACUUCUACAAGUACCCAUGUACCACUUUCAUUCCUACCUAUGGAUGCUGGUAUUUGAGGACAGAAUAGAGGAGAUGCACAAGAAACCAGUAAUCCUAAUAGAAACUGACCUCUUCCAAGGGGAAGAGCAGCCUUAAUCAGUUGAUACUUCUAGUUAGAUUUUUUCUGCCUGUUUUGUUGUGGCUUAAAGAUCUACUUGUUCCUAAGUGACUAAUUCUAUAAAUAUUCUGCUGUCUAUCUUACUAGUUAUGAGGGCUAGAUCUGGCAAAGGAUUCCACUCAAAGUAAUCACAUUCUUGUUGUUAUCCAAGUGUACCUUUGACAUGCUCUUGAAAGGUACUAUAACAUUGCAGUGCUGAAGAUUAAAUGAAGCUAAUUAGUAUAACGAUUGUUUAUUCUACUGGCCAUGACUGAAAUGCAUCAAGGAUUAUGGAAAAUAGCAAGUAUUUGGCUGGAUGAUAACAUUUGUGACAAGUAUCUAUGCAACUUUUUGAUGAACUAUCACUAAACCUGCUGGAUAUUUGUUCAUCACUGGAUGAACUAACAGUAGCAAACAUUUACGUAGCCAGCAUCUUUUUAUUAUAGGUUAAUGGUUGUCAUGGUUAUGCAUAACUCCAAGGUGUAUGAAGUGGCUGCUUCAGGGCGUUUACAGUCUUGAUGGAGGCAAUAAAUGCAUGGCAGAUGACA
ensembl:lncRNA pancreatic progenitor cell differentiation and proliferation factor like